UACGUAGGGGGCUAGCGUUGUCCGGAUUUAUUGGGCGUAAAGAGCGUGUAGGCGGCCAGAUAGGUCUGCUGUGAAAACUCGAGGCUCAACCUCGAGAUGUCGGCGGAAACCAUCUGGCUAGAGUCCGGAAGAGGAGAGUGGAAUUCCCGGUGUAGCGGUGAAAUUCGUAGAUAUUGGGAAGAACACCGAUGGCGAAGGCAGCCAUCUGGACCGACACUGACGCUGAGACGCGAAAGCGUGGGGAGCAAACAGG
rnacentral:rRNA from 1 species